rnacentral:rRNA from 1 species
CGAUGGGCCGACGUCGCAUGCUCCCGGCCGCCAUGGUUAGAGUUUGAUCAUGGCUCAGAUUGAACGCUGGCGGAAUGCUUUACACAUGCAAGUCGAGCGGCAGCACGGGGGCAACCCUGGUGGCGAGCGGCGAACGGGUGAGUAACACAUCGGAACAUGCCCAGUCGUGGGGGAUAACACUUCGAAAGAAGUGCUAAUACCGCAUACGUCCUGAGGGAGAAAGCGGGGGAUCGCAAGACCUCGCGCGAUUGGAGUGGCCGAUGUCAGAUUAGCUAGUUGGUGGGGUAAAGGCCUACCAAGGCGACGAUCUGUAGCUGGUCUGAGAGGACGACCAGCCACACUGGGACUGAGACACGGCCCAGACUCCUACGGGAGGCAGCAGUGGGGAAUUUUGGACAAUGGGGGCAACCCUGAUCCAGCCAUUCCGCGUGAGUGAAGAAGGCCUUCGGGUUGUAAAGCUCUUUCAGCAGGAACGAAACGGCGAGCUCUAACAUAGCUCGUUAAUGACGGUACCUGAAGAAGAAGCACCGGCUAACUACGUGCCAGCAGCCGCGGUAAUACGUAGGGUGCGAGCGUUAAUCGGAAUUACUGGGCGUAAAGCGUGCGCAGGCGGUUGUGUAAGACAGGUGUGAAAUCCCCGGGCUUAACCUGGGAACUGCGCUUGUGACUGCACGGCUAGAGUAUGGCAGAGGGGGGGUGGAAUUCCACGUGUAGCAGUGAAAUGCGUAGAGAUGUGGAGGAACACCGAUGGCGAAGGCAGCCCCCUUGGCCAAUACUGACGCUCAUGCAC